rnacentral:rRNA from 1 species
GACGAACCACACGAACGUUAUUCGGAAUUACUGGGCUUAAAGGGUGCGUAGGCGGCGCAGGAAGUUGGGUGUGAAAUCCCUCGGCUCAACCGAGGAACUGCGCCCAAAACUACUGUGCUUGAGGAAGAUAGAGGUAAGCGGAACUUACGGUGGAGCGGUGAAAUGCGUUGAUAUCGUAAGGAACACCUGUGGCGAAAGCGGCUUACUGGGUCUUUCUGACGCUGAUGCACGAAAGCCAGGGGAGCAAACGGG